rnacentral:rRNA from 1 species
AGCAGCCGCGGUAAUUCCAGCUCCAAUAGCGUAUAUUAAAGUUGCUGCAGUUAAAAAGCUCGUAGUUGAAUUUCGGGACCAUCAUGUCGGUCGUGCCUCGGUACGUACUGGUAUUGUUGGUUUCUCCCUUCUGACGAACCGUGAUGUCAUUUAUUUGGUGUUGUGGGGAAUCAGGACUGUUACUUUGAAAAAAUUAGAGUGUUUAAAGCAGGCUCACGCUUGAAUACAUUAGCAUGGAAUAAUGAAAUAGGACGUUUGAUUCUAUUUUGUUGGUUUCUAGGAUCGACGUAAUGAUUAAUAGGGAUAGUUGGGGGCAUUAGUAUUCAAUUGUCAGAGGUGAAAUUCUUGGAUUUAUUGAAGACUAACUACUGCGAAAGCAUUUGCCAAGGAUGUUUUCAUUAAUCAAGAACGAAAGUUAGGGGAUCGAAGACGAUCAGAUACCGUCGUAGUCUUAACCAUAAACUAUGCCGACUAGGGAUCGGAUGAUGUUAAUUUUUAAUGACUCAUUCGGCGCCUUAAC